rnacentral:lncRNA from 13 species
GUGUCUUUUAUACUGAUUGUCAUGUACUGUCAUGUUGUGUCUUGUCUCUGUCCUUUCCCUUCACCCUGUCUCCCUCUGCUGGUCGUUGUUAGGUUACCUUUUCUCCCCCGCUUUCCCCCAGCUGUUCCUUGUCUCCUCUAACUACCCAUUCACCCCGUUUCCCACCUGUUCCUUGUCUCCUCUAACUACCCAUUCACCCCGUUUCCCACCUGUUCCCUUUUUCCCUCUGAUUAGGUCCCUAUAUCUCUCUCUGUUUCUGUUCCUGUCCUUGUCGGAUUCUUGUUUGUUGUGUUUCAUGCCUGAGCCAGACUAUCGUCAUGUUUGCUGUAACCUUGUCCUGUCCUGUCGGAAUCUGCCGGUCUAUCUGAGCCUACCUAUGUUUGGUUAUUAAAGAAGCUCUGUUUAAGUUAAGUUCGCUUUUGGGUCCUCAUUCACUCACCAUAACACUGAUAACAAGUUCAAACAGGUGCCAUUAAUACAGGUAACGAGUGGAGGACAGAGGAGCCUCUUAAAGAAGAAGUUACAGGUCUGUGAGAGCCAGAAAUCUUGCUUGUUUGUAGGUGACCAAAUACUUAUUUUCCACCAUAAUUUGCAUAUAAAUUCAUAAAAAAUCCUACUAUGUGAUUUUCUUGAUUUUUUUUCUCAUUUUGUCUGUCAUAGUUGAAGUGUACCUAUGAUGAAAAUUACAGGCCUCGCUCAUAUUUUUAAGUGGGAGAACUUGCACAAUUGGUGGCUGACUAAAUACUUUUUUGCCCCACUGUAAAGAUGGAGCGAGUGAUAGAGAGAGAGGAGGGUGCUAUAACAAAGUUAGAUGAUAUACUACUGCUGGCAGAUUUGAGCAGUGCAUAGAGUCAAAUGCCUUUAGAACUAUAUUACAUUGUCCUGUGGUUCCACUCCUUAUCUUUACUACAUGCCCACUGCCCUACAGAGAGUCAUCCACUGACACACACCUGCUACAUAGCCGUUAGGCCCGAAGCCACAAAGACUAACUGUAGGGAUCCAUCUUAUUAAUUCCCUGCCAAAGCCUUUGAUGUAUGAGGUAUUAAGAUGUCUUG